rnacentral:tRNA from 1 species
UCCCUGGUGGCUCAUAUGGUAAAGCGUCUGCCUGCAAUGCAGAAGACCUGGGCUCGAUUCCUGGGUCGGGAU